rnacentral:ncRNA from 13 species
ACGGAAUAAUAAGAUAGAGGUACAAAUCAUAAAUUCGAUUUGUUUAAAAGGAAAGAUCGAUGUAAAUCCGAUGCUGUCCCGCAACUGUAAAUGUGAGGACGUAUCAAAAAACCACUGUUACGCAUUGUAAUGGGAAGGUGAAAAGUUUGAUGAACAUAUGCCAGGAGACCUGCCCUUAUCUUGUACAUCCAA